UACGGGGGGGGCAAGCGUUGUUCGGAAUUACUGGGCGUAAAGGGCUCGUAGGCGGCCAACUAAGUCAGACGUGAAAUCCCUCGGCUUAACCGGGGAACUGCGUCUGAUACUGGAUGGCUUGAGUUUGGGAGAGGGAUGCGGAAUUCCAGGUGUAGCGGUGAAAUGCGUAGAUAUCUGGAGGAACACCGGUGGCGAAGGCGGCAUCCUGGGCCGAUACUGACGCUGAGGAGCGAAAGCGUGGGGAGCAAAACGG
rnacentral:rRNA from 1 species